GACGUAGGGUGCGAGCGUUGUCCGGAUUUAUUGGGCGUAAAGAGCUCGUAGGCGGCUCGUCGCGUCAGCUGUGAAAACCGGCAGCUUAACUGUGGGCUUGCAGCUGAUACGGGCGGGCUAGAGUUCGGUAGGGGAGACUGGAAUUCCUGGUGUAGCGGUGAAAUGCGCAGAUAUCAGGAGGAACACCGGUGGCGAAGGCGGGUCUCUGGGCCGAUACUGACGCUGAGGAGCGAAAGUGUGGGGAGCGAACAGG
rnacentral:rRNA from 1 species